AACGAACGCUGGCGGCAGGCCUAACACAUGCAAGUCGAACGAGAAGCUUCCUUCGGGAAGUGGAGAGUGGCGCACGGGUGAGUAACGCGUGGGAAUUUGCCUUUUGGUACGGGAUAACGUCUGGAAACGGACGCUAAUACCGUAUGAUAUCUACGGAUUAAAGAUUUAUCGCCAGAAGAGGAGCCCGCGUAGGAUUAGGUAGUUGGUGGGGUAAUGGCUCACCAAGCCGACGAUCCUUAGCUGUUCUGAGAGGAAGAUCAGCCACACUGGAACUGAGACACGGUCCAG
rnacentral:rRNA from 1 species